UGGCCAUAUCCAUUUCAAACACCAGUACCCAUACAAUCAUUGAUAUUAAGCAACAUUGAGUCUGGUCAGUACUGAAAUGAGUGACUGCUUGGGAAUACCAGGUACUGUAAG